rnacentral:rRNA from 1 species
UACAGAGGUCCCAAGCGUUGUUCGGAUUCACUGGGCGUAAAGGGUGCGUAGGUGGUCGGGUAAGUCUGAUGUGAAAUCUCGGAGCUCAACUCCGAAACUGCAUUGGAUACUAUUCGGCUUGAGAGUUGGAGGGGGGACUGGAAUUCUCGGUGUAGCAGUGAAAUGCGUAGAUAUCAGGAGGAACACCGAUGGCGAAGGCAGGUCUCUGGGCUGACACUGACGCUCAUGCACGAAAGCGUGGGGAGCAAACAGG